AUUAUCAUAAAGUACAGAAAAAAAAACAAGAACCAAAAAAAAAAAAAGAGAGCAUUAUUCUAUUUUUCGCCAUGCUUAACGAUCAAGAAUUUUAGCUCUCUCUACUUUCAUUUUCCCCCUCAUCAAAAUUUCUCGAUGUUGUUUCGUUUCCACCAUAAUAUGGACAUACAUGUCUUAGUAUAUAUAUAUAUGCUAAUUUAUUUCUCUGCCCCGAUUAUUUAUGCCUAAUUAUUUUAUUUACCCCCAAUCCCCCAUAUAUAUAUAUAUAAACUCAUCAGUAGAAGAACUCCGGCUAAGUCACUAGAACUCCGGUGGAGAAAAUUUGGCCGGCGGUGUAAGGAGAGGUUGAGAAUUUUGAUCUACAUCUCUCUUUCCUUUCAUCAUUUGCUAUAUGACUCGAUCGACACUCUGUGCUGCAAAAUGCUUUUUCUCCUCUGCAUAUAAAAAGCAAUAAGCAAUCGAAAGAUACGACCAUAGUAUAAAAAUACUUAUAUAUAUGCUCCCAAGUUAUACCUGUAAAUAAAUAUGUCUUGACCAUGAAGUUUCUUCCUGCACAAGUAACAUGAAUUGAGGAAACCCAAACCCUGAAACUCUGGCGAAUUCUCUGGAGAUUCCGUAACGACAUCGACCACGAAAAGUCUUUCCCGACGAUCAUCGUUGAUCUUACUUGAGAAACACUCAAACCCAUCUUUGUCAUAAACCCUUGUAUUACAAGAUCCACUUGGUCCAUGGUGGCAUGUCACCAACGUGUAAUCCUCCUCGUCCAUUAUGAACAUCUCCUCGUCUUCUCCGUCCGUGCUUCCACCAUGGCUCAUGAACUGAACCGGAUCAGACCGGCCGGGUUGGUUCGGUUCCGAUCUACAAACGCUCGUGAUUCGACGAGUGUUUGAGUUCUCGAGCGCGGCUACAAUCCCUAGACCAACAGAGCCACCAAGAUUGUCAUCGUAGAAUCUCUUUGAGCUGUUUCUUUGAGAUAUCUGAGGGAGAAUCUUGAAAUCCAGUGGGCUUUUAGGGCUCGUCAUCAAGACGUCGAAGAAAGGAGCCGCCGUGGAUCGGUUGACACCGACGAGGAGCUCCGAUAUCUUUCCGAUCAUGGGAUGGGUUCUUUUAGUAAGCAUGAUCUUGAGAGAGCAGAGUUUUGAUGAUCAGAUUAAAUCGAAAAAACAAAAACAAAAAGAAGAAACAUAAAAGAAGAAGAAGAGAGAAGAUUGGUGGUGUUUGUAAACCUCC
rnacentral:sRNA from 1 species